GGGUGAGUAACACGUGGGUAACCUGCCCUAAAGUCUGGGAUACCACUUGGAAACAGGUGCUAAUACCGGAUAACAACAAUAGCUGCAUGGCUAUUGCUUAAAAGGCGGCGAAAGCUGUCGCUAAAGGAUGGACCCGCGGUGCAUUAGCUAGUUGGUAAGGUAAUGGCUUACCAAGGCGACGACGCAUAGCCGAGUUGAGAGACUGAUCGGCCACAUUGGGACUGAGACACGGCCCAAACUCCUACGUGAGGCAGCAGUAGGGAAUCUUCCACAAUGGGCGAAAGCCUGAUGGAGCAACGCCGCGUGAGUGAAGAAGGUUUUCGGAUCGUAAAGCUCUGUUGUUGGUGAAGAAGGAUAGAGGUAGUAACUGGCCCCUAUUUGACGGUAAUCAACCAGAAAGUCACGGCUAACUACGUGCCAGCAGCCGCGGUAAUACGUAGGUGGCAAGCGUUGUCCGGAUUUAUUGGGCGUAAAGCGAGCGCAGGCGGAAAGAUAAGUCUGAUGUGAAAGCCCCCGGCUUAACCGAGGAAUUGCAUCGGAAACUGUGUUUCUUGAGUGCAGAAGAGGAGAGUGGAACUCCAUGUGUAGCGGUGGAAUGCGUAGAUAUAUGGAAGAACACCAGUGGCGAAGGCGGCUCUCUGGUCUGUAACUGACGCUGAGGCUCGAAAGCAUGGGUAGCGAACAGGAUUAGAUACCCUGGUGGUCCAUGCCGUAAACGAU
rnacentral:rRNA from 1 species